AAUUUUUAGGGUUUUAACUUGUGGUAUAAAUUUCAGAUUUAAGAGGCUAAGAGUACAAAUUGGAGCUCAAGUUUGCUGAUUCUUUAAUCUCCAAUUUCAUUAAGGUAAGAAUACCAAUUUUUGGCAAACCCUAGAUUUUAAAUUGGAUACUUGAGUAAGGAUUAAUUGUGAACAUGAUUAUGGUGAUGAUAUAUUAACUUGAAAGAAUGGAUCUAUGGAAUAAGAUGUAAAUUAGAUUGGUGCAAGUGGGAAUUCAAGUUUCACUAGAUUAGAAUAAAGAAUUGUUUUUAUGUUUGGGAUGUAGGCAAUUAUGAUAAUUUAAAGAUUAGUGAAAUGCUAGAAGGUAGAAUUUGUUUCAAUUGUGAAGGAAACUAAAGAAUAUAUUCAAGUGCCGAAAAGUCAAGUUCUAAGAUUUCAUAAUUAAAUGUUAAGAGAUACAUAGUAUGAGACUUGUUAAAUUAGUUAUUUUACAUCGUAUUUCAGGUGAUGACGUGAAAGCUUGAGAAGGCUGGUCAAUUUGACCAGAUUGCUAUCCAUAGAUCUGAGAGAGGAGAAUCUACGUUUCCAAAAAGAAUAUUUUCUUUUUAUUUUAUAGAAGCAUAUUAAUUGCAUGAGAUGCCUUAUUUUCGAGAAUUAGUAAAUGAGCAUGAUUGUUUUGAAAUUAUCAGAAAAUAAUUGAUGUGAUUAUCUUACUCUAGUACACUGAGGGGCUACGGUCAUGUACUAGAGUCAUGUAUUUAACUCCUAUACACUAAGGGGCUACAGCCGUGUGUAAGGGUAACUCUUAUCCACUGAGGGGCUACGGUCGUGGGUAAAGGUAUCCAUUAUACAUUAAGGGGCUACAGGCGUGUAUAAAGAUGAUUAUGUUGUUUCCAUCUUGUACAUUGAGGGGCUACGACUGUGUACAGAGUAUUGAUCAGAAGGUUUAUGUACGUAUGAUUUAUAGCUUUCAGAUCAUUAGUAGAUGUUUACACGGGAUAUAUUUGAUGUAAAUUUUAACUAUAUAGAGGAUUAUUAGUCUUCAGCUUCCAUUUACCCGUUUACAGUUCAACUUAUGGAUUUCAGAUUAUAGAGUUCAAUUUAUUUAGUUCUAAGAAUAAAGCUUCCGGCUUAUAAUAUUGAGCAACAACAAUAUUCCAUAGAUUUUCAUGAAUACUAGAUUCUUUGUAUUCGUUAUACUUUGCAGUAAUUAAGAACAAAGAAUUUUAUAAUGCAGUCAUGCUUAGUUGAAAGUGUUGCUAGAUUUAAGCAUUUUCCCAAACAUUUAAUAGAGAUAGAAUUAUCAGGAAAUAUGCAUAAAUGGAAAAGUACACUUAUUUUCAAUCUAUCCACUCACUGAGUUACAAUCUCAUAUUUUGUUAACCUUUUUCCUUAUCAGAUAGCAGCCGAGUUGAUAGAGCCUGUCGAUCCACUGAAUUGAGCCACACGUCAUUAGUUGUAUGUUUUACUUUAUCAGAUUAGGUAGUACCUGUUUCUUAGGUUACAUGUAGUUUAUUUUAGAAAAGGUUGUUAUGAGAUCACUAUAUGGUAUAUUUAGUACAUUUGAGGAUUGUUGAUAGAAAAGCAAGUAAAUUUUAAAUUGUCAGUAUUUUAUUUUGAAUAGUUUGGAUUUUGAGGCACUAGCGUACUUGUUUUAUAUUAUAUGUACUGAUUUGAGGAAAUUGAUCAUCGAUCAGGUGGUUUUAGUCCAUAUUUUAGAGGAGAUUCUGUGAAAAUUCUUUAAAAUUUCCUCACAAUCAGACAAGUCAAGGUUGCAUUGGUGGUGGGUCUGGCACUUAGAUGAUAUCUAUCAUCUGUGCAUGACACGUGUCAGAUCCAUUACGUGAUUCGGGAUGGGUCAUAUCAAUUGGUAUCAGAGCAUGGUUCAGUGGUUGUUAAGAUAAGUGGUUCAUGAGUUUCUUUUUUUAGAAUAGCAUGUAAUUAAGAUUGUUAGUAGUGGCGUGGUGGCAGAACUCACAGGCUUCAAUGUGGUAUUUGAAACUCAUAUUGCCCUUGAUAAAGAAGAUAUGGCAGCUAAGAAAGUAGAAGAAUCUUUAUUGAUUUGAGCAUAAUAAGUAUGAGGAUGUUAUUGAUAAUUAUUCGAUGGUAAGGAGAGUUGUCAGAGUUGUCAUGUUGGCGCCAUAUUAUAUUUCUCUAGUAUAUUAAUAAUUGCGCUAUAUAUCCAAUAGGUAGUUAAGCAAAGAGUAUAACUUUUCUUAGUAAUGAGAUUUAUUGGGUUAUGAAUUUCUUUUAUGAUUAUUACAGGGAAUGUUUUGUAGAUGCCUUGAAUAAUAAAUAUUGUCUAAUGUUGAUAUAUGUAUAAUUGGAGACAUUACAAGGUGAAAUUAUGAUUAUUUUAUAAAUAUAAAGGAUUGUGGUAUUGUGAGAAUUAUCCUGGGAAUUUGUAAUUAUAUUUAGUAUAUGGAAGAAAAUGCAUGUAUUAGAAAAUCAAGAUGUGGAGAUAUAAUAAGAAAUCUUGUUCAUGACAGAUAUAAUGAAAUCAUAUGGAAUGUCGAUUCAUGACGAAAAUAGUGUUAUUGAAUAUGUUUUACCUGGCGAUUUUGAGUAAAUUAAUAGGACUAUGGUUCCCUCCUUGUUGAUUCAGGAACAAUUAAGUAUCUAGAUCUGUACUUCAACUACCGUUGAAGGAAAUAUUAAGGGUUUACUCGGUUUGGGUGUAUGAAAAUAAGUUAUGAUGAAUGAAAAAUGAGAGAAUAUUUUUUUACAAAUUCAAAAAUGACUAGUAUGUAAGUAUAUCAGUUGCAGGGAUUUAAUGGUUGACAAUGUUAUAAGCUAUUAGGUUGGUACAAAGGUGUAUGCUACCUAGUACUUAAUAAGAGUGUAACAUUGUCAGCUGUUAGGUUGGUACAAAGGUGUAUGCUACCUAGUACUCAAUAAGAGUGGAACAGUGAAAAGAUACAAGUUUGGAAUUAGAGUUUUAAUGAGUUUGUAGGUUACCUAUCUAUAUGCAUUCGAAGGAAUGGAGUACCAUGUUGCCUAAAUAUUGAAUUACAUACAAGAUUUUGUGAUUUUUUAAAUUUAGAUAUGGGUAAGUCUCUGUUAUAAUUUGCAUGAUAAAUAAAAUGGAAUGAUAUUAUGUGUAAUUGAUGACAAUUAUAUGAGAAAUCUUAAUUAUCUUGGGAAGCUAAAUGAUCAAUAGCAUUGUCGAAGAUUAUUGUGAUUUGUAGCCACUCACAUGGGAGGAUAGAAAUUAAGGUGAUGUAUAUCUAUAUAUAUGACAAGAAUCUCGUGGAGGAUAGAUGAUGAUAUUAUAUCGAAUAUUGAUCGGUAGAGAAUAAUGUGUUAUUAUGUAUGUUAUGCAUCGAGGAAAUUGACAUUCAUGUAGCUCUGAUCAUUUUGAUUAUUUAUGGGCUAUUUGAUUAUAAGUAAUGUUAGAAAGGUAUGGAUAGACUUCACAAAGACUAUUUAUUGUGGGAUAAACUGUUGUUGAAGGAAAAUAAUUAUUUGAUUUGUGCAUUUAUGUAAACUGGGUAAAAAUGAUAUGAAUGAAGUGAGUCUAUGAAACACAUUGAUUUUCACUUUUGAAUUAUAGAAGAAGAAUCAUGCAUUGAAGUAAAGGAAAUGAAAAGAGGGGUUAGUAUAUCAUCUUUCACAUAUAAGCAUGUGUGGCUUGAAGAAUGAAAUGAUGCUAUGUAAAUUAUAGUAUAAGAAAAGAAUAAAGAAUGGUAGAGUUGAAAUUGAUGGAGAUUGAGAAAUAAGAAUACAAUUUCUUAGUGGCAAUUGAUGUGUGAAAAAUUCAUGUGAUAAAUAUGAAGAUUAUUAUUUUGUGAUGUUAAGAAAAAUCGAUAUAAAUAGAUGUUUUAAAUCCUACAAUAUAACUAUAAAUGACCAGGUUACAUGAUCAUGACAUAAUCAGGUGACUAGCAAGUAAAUGAAAUUUAUGGUUGUCCUGACAAAAUAAUGUGAUGAGAUAUUUGGGUUAUUAAGUUAAUUAAUUUUGUCACGGCUAUUGGUUGUAUUAUUUUGUUAUAUUACGUACCAUUUGUAAGCUUCGAGCUAAAAUUUGGAAGUUAAGGUGAAUUUGAUGAAUUUUUAGUGAUGUAAUUUUUUGAUUAGUUUCGAUUGUAUUUUUGGAUUUCAUGAAUAAAGUAUUCCAUUUUUAUUGAGAACUAUUCACUAUGAAAUAAAUGGAUGAUAUGUUGGAUAAUCUAAAGUAUAUGGUGAUCGUCUAAUGUAAAUCUUCCGUGGAAUGGUAUCCUUUGGUUACAUUAUCUUGAUUAAAGGUCCUUACGUAAUUUACAAGAAGGCUUAUGUGUUGACAAUAAGUCAAUGGUCUCUUUAUGGAGUAUGAUUAUAGAUUAUUAUUGAUUAAAUGUUAUUAUUGUCUCUUCAUAGAAAGAAAGAGCACCAACUUAUGUGGGUUUGGGAAUAUAAAGGGUCUUUACUAUCAGAUUAUAUUAUGAGAAAAUAUUUGUUUUCUAUCUAAAGUUGAUGAAUGUUUGAUAUAUGAUAAUGAACUAUUUUUGGGUUUAGAAAGUAUUUUGAGGUAAACUUAUAAAUUAUGGAUUAUAAUAUGGAUUGUUGAAGAGGCAUGAUUAAGACAUGAUUUAUAGUUGAUUAUAUUGGGGUUGAAGUUAGGAAUUGUGGUGUUAUCACAUUGCGAGAAACAUCUAUACUCAUCUAUCAUUAGAUUUUAAGGUAUAUUAUUAUUCAAAGGGUGAAAAUUGAAGUUGUGCAUAGAUUAUCAUUGAGUGAAAUAGAAUUAAAGGAAAAGGACAUCAUAUUGAGCUAUCUCAAUUGUUGUUGGGGAUAGCUAGAAUUUUAGAAAAUCAUGAACAAUUGAGUUUUUGCAGGUAUUGUCUAUUUAGAAUGGAAGUAAUUACCCUCUAAUAUUUUUUUAUUUUGGAUUCCAAGAAUAUAGAAUGGAGACAAAAUGGUAUUUAGAUCAUUGUCGAUAGAUUGAUGAAGAUUACAAGAUUAUAUUCAAAUGAUACAGUUAGUUCAUGAGAUAAAUUUAUAAAAUAGCAUAUAGAUAAGAACAUAAUUGAUAUGGUGGAGUUUGAGUAUCUAUCUUUAACUUAGUUGUAAGGAGUUAUAUGACUAAAUUACUUUGUGUAGUUUCUUUUAAUAGAAUGUCAGACACCAUGAAGCAAGUUCAGAAGAGAGGUUAUCAGCUAUGGUUUCUUAAUUAAAGGGAACUUGGAUAAUCGUUUAUUUUUCAUGGAGGUGGUAUAUAAGAAAUAGAUACAAGUGACGAUAAUUGAUGCUAUAUAUGAUAUUGGCAUAUUUCAAAGACUUGUUAUUUGGACGGUAGAUGCAAAAGAAAAUUAUUAAGUCAAUGACUACAAAGAAAGACUUUGAUAAGAGAAUAGUUCAAAUCAUGACAUAAGGUGAAGAUUUGAAGAACAUGAAAAGUAGUAUCUUAGAUUGGGAAAUGAUCAAAUUUUCUAAGAAUUGGUAAAAUGAAAAAGUUGAGAAUAUCAUAUAUUAGUCUUUAAGAUGUUAUUUCAAAAUUUGUGUCAAUUGUUUAAUGAUGGAUUUUACAACAGUUUAGUUGAUAUUUAAGAAUGUAUCGUCUAUUUCUAAGGCUUAGUAGAUUUCAAAUGUAAAUUAUGAGUUAAGAUUAUUAGUGCAAUUAAAGAGAGCUCGUCUUAAUAGAGUUGAAAAGAUAUUGAUAUAGGAAAGGUCAAGGAAAAUCCAAGGGCAAGAAAGAAUGAAUUCUGUGAAGUUAGAUUGGGGUGGUAGUUAAAUUGUGAGAAUGCAAUAAAUGGAAGAGACAUCAUGGGCAUAUAAAGAUCAAGUAUGCUAUGUGCUCUAUAUCUUGAUAUAUUUGAAUCCCAGUAGAUUGAAUUUUGAGGACGAAAUUCUUUAAAGGAGGUAAGAUUGUUUCAACCGAAUUCUUUUAGGUCAAAAAUCAAUGGUUGAAUUGUCAAAGUCAAAGUCAAAUAGGGACUAAAUUGUAAGAAAGUAUUUUAUUGGGGUUAUUUUAUGAUAAAAAAUAUUUUGAGGGUUUAAGAUGGAUAAAAAAUUUAAGUUUGGAUUUAUUUUUCAAAAUUUGGAAGUUAAGGAUUUAAUACUUUAUUAUAUGAAAUUUAGUAUGGCUAAAUGUUAUAUUAUAUGGAAGAUGAGGGACUUACCUUGCAAAACCCCACUAAUUUGACCAUUUAAACCCAAUUGCCAUUACUUUAUAGAUAUUUCUCAUACCAAACCGGGCAGAGAGGCUGGAAACGGCAGAGGAGGAAAAGAAGAAAGAAAAGAAAAGAAAAAGAAGAAGAAAAAGAAGAGGAGAAAAAGGAAGGAAAAUAGAUAGUUCAAGCUUAUUUCCAUUCUCCUUUCUCUAUAUUUUCUUCAAGAGGUAAAUGAAUGAUUUUAUGUUAAAUUUUUAGGGUUUUAACUUGUGGUAUAAAUUUCAGAUUUAAGAGGCUAAGAGUACAAAUUGGAGCUCAAGUUUGUUGAUUCUUUAAUCUCCAAUUUCAUUAAGGUAAGAAUACUAAUUUUUGGCAAACCCUAGAUUUUAAAUUGGAUACUUGAGUAAGGAUUAAUUGUGAACAUGAUUAUGGUGAUGAUCUAUUAACUUGAAAGAAUGGAUCUAUGGAAUAAGAUAUAAAUUAGAUUGGUGCGAGUGGGAAUUCAAGUUUCACUAGAUUAGAAUAAAGAAUUGUUUUUAUUUUUGGGAUGUAGGCAAUUAUGAUAAUUUAAAGAUUAGUGAAAUGCUAGAAGGUAGAAUUUGUUUCAAUUGUGAAGGAAACUAAAGAAUAUAUUCAAGUGCCGAAAAGUCAAGUUCUAAGAUUUCAUAAUUAAAUGUUAAGAUACAUAGUAUGGGAGUUGUUAAAUUAGUUAUUUUACAUCGUAUUUCAGGUGAUGACGUGAAAGCUUGACAAGGUUGGUCAAUUUGACCAGAUUGCUAUCCAUAGAUCUAUGAGUGGAGAAUCUACGUUUCCAAAAAGAAUAUUUUCUUUUUAUUUUAUAGAAGCAAAUUAAUUACAUGAGAUGCCUUAUUUUCUUACUCUAGUGCACCGAGGGGUUAUGGCCGUGUACUAGAGUCAUGUAUUUAACUCCUAUACACUGAGGGACUACAGCCGUGUGUAAGGGCAUUUCUUAUCCACUGAGGGGCUACGACCGUGGGUAAAGGUAUCCAUUAUACAUUAAGGGGCUACAGCCGUGCAUAAAGAUGAUUAUGUUGUUUCCAUCUUGUACACUGAGGGGCUACGACUGUGUACAGAGUAUUGAUCAGAAGGUUUAUGUACGUAUGAUUUAUAGCUUUCAGAUCAUUAGUAGAUGUUUACACGGGAUAUAUUUGAUGUAAAUUUUAAUUAUAUAGAGGAUUAUUAGUCUUCAGCUUCCAGUUACCCGUUUACAGUUCAACUUAUGGAUUUCAGAUUAUAGAGUUCAAUUUAUUUAGUUCUAAGAAUAAAGCUUCCGGCUUAUAAUAUUGAGCAACAAUAUUCCAUAGAUUUUCAUGAAUACUAGAUUCUUUGUAUUCGUUAUACUUUGCAGUAAUUAAGAACAAAGAAUUUUAUAAUGCAGUCAUGCUUAGUUGAAAAGUGUUGCUAGAUUUAAGCAUUUUCUCAAACAUUUAAUAGAGAUAGA
rnacentral:lncRNA from 1 species